rnacentral:rRNA from 1 species
GACGAACCGUGCGAACGUUGUUCGGAAUCACUGGGCAUAAAGGGCGCGUAGGCGGCUUUUCAAGUCAGGGGUGAAAUCCGGCAGCUCAACUGUCGAAGUACCCUUGAUACUGAUGAGCUCGAGGGAGGUAGGGGUAUGUGGAACUUCCGGUGGAGCGGUGAAAUGCGUUGAUAUCGGAAGGAACGCCGGUGGCGAAAGCGACGUACUGGACCUCUUCUGACGCUGAGGCGCGAAAGCUAGGGGAGCAAACGGG